GAGAGACCUACAGUACGUGGAGGGGACUGGAAACAAAAUUUAAGCAAGUGGAAGAAAGCCACAAGCAGCACCUGGCAAGGCAGUUUAAGGGCUAACUUAAAAGCAAGUUUUUUCAAUGCUGCAGUGACUGAAGAAGCAGUUCACUCCCAUGUAACCAUGAAAAGAGGGCCACAGAGCAUUUUGCACCAUGCAUUGAUUUUUUUGAUUAUUUUCCAAAUUAGCACCAUAUCUCACUAAGGAACCUUGAACCACACAACCAAGAUCUUCCUUUGCAUGCAAUUGUAGAUGCAUUUCAUGAAUAGUUUGAAACCCUUGUCAAUGCAUAUAUAUAUAUUAUUUUCUUUUAUUUUUUGGAAAGAAAAAAAAAAAACAACUCUUUGUGUAUGUGAUCUGAAGCAUGUAACCCUAAGAUGUUGCAUUCUAAAAAUGACAAAUAAAGGCCU